rnacentral:rRNA from 1 species
GAUGAACGCUGGCGGCGCGCCUAACACAUGCAAGUCGAACGGUUAAAGCACCUUUUAGGUGUGUAUAAAGUGGCGAACGGCUGAGUAACACGUGGGCAACCUGCCCUCCUCUUGGGGAUAGCCUCGGGAAACCGAGGAUAAUACCCGAUACUUCAAUGUGGCCGCAUGACGACAUUGAGAAAGCUUUUGCGGAGAAGGAUGGGCCCGCGGCCUGUUAGCUUGUUGGUGGGGUAGAGGCCUACCAAGGCAAUGAUGGGUAGCUGGGUUGAGAGACCGACCAGCCAGCUUGGGACUGAGACACGGCCCAGACUCCUACGGGAGGCAGCAGUGGGGAAUCUUGCACAAUGGGCGAAAGCCUGAUGCAGCGACGCCGCGGGCGGGACGAAGGCCUUCGGGUUGGAAAACGCUUUCAGCAGGGACGAGGCGAUAAGUGACGGUACCUGCAGAAGAAGCCCCGGCUAACUACGUG